AGUGAACGCUGGCGGUAGGCCUAACACAUGCAAGUCGAACGGCAGCACAGUAAGAGCUUGCUCUUACGGGUGGCGAGUGGCGGACGGGUGAGGAAUACAUCGGAAUCUACUUUUUCGUGGGGGAUAACGUAGGGAAACUUACACUAAUACCGCAUAUGACCUACGGGUGAAAGCAGGGGAUCUUCGGACCUUGCGCGAUUGAAUGAGCCGAUGUCGGAUUAGCUAGUUGGCGGGGUAAAGGCCCACCAAGGCGACGAUCCGUAGCUGGUCUGAGAGGAUGAUCAGCCACACUGGAACUGAGACACGGUCCAGACUCCUACGGGAGGCAGCAGUGGGGAAUAUUGGACAAUGGGCGCAAGCCUGAUCCAGCCAUACCGCGUGGGUGAAGAAGGCCUUCGGGUUGUAAAGCCCUUUUGUUGGGAAAGAAAGGCAGCAGGUUAAUACCCCGCUGUUCUGACGGUACCCAAAGAAUAAGCACCGGCUAACUUCGUG
rnacentral:rRNA from 1 species